rnacentral:rRNA from 1 species
AUUGAACGCUGGCGGCAUGCUUUACACAUGCAAGUCGAACGGCAGCGCGGGCUUCGGCCUGGCGGCGAGUGGCGAACGGGUGAGUAAUACAUCGGAACGUGCCCAGUAGUGGGGGAUAGCUCGGCGAAAGCCGGAUUAAUACCGCAUACGACCUGAGGGUGAAAGCGGGAGAUCUUCGGACCUCGCGCUAUUGGAGCGGCCGAUGGCAGAUUAGCUAGUUGGUGGGGUAAAGGCCUACCAAGGCGACGAUCUGUAGCUGGUCUGAGAGGACGACCAGCCACACUGGGACUGAGACACGGCCCAGACUCCUACGGGAGGCAGCAGUGGGGAAUUUUGGACAAUGGGCGAAAGCCUGAUCCAGCAAUGCCGCGUGUGUGAUGAAGGCCUUCGGGUUGUAAAGCACUUUUGGCGGGAACGAAAAGGACUGUGCCAAUACCACGGUUCGAUGACGGUAUCCGCAGAAUAAGCACCGGCUAACUACGUG